GUGGUCUUGGAGAGAGUCAGGGCUGGGAACUGCAGGCUCUUGCGGAGGUUUUUCACCCAGGACUUGGCUUUCUGACGUGAAGCGUAGCUGGUUAUCUCCACGUGGACUGCACGGCUGAGGACCGCUGUCCCCUCAGGCCAAAAAAGAGGCAAGAAACAUGUACUGGGAUGGACACGUGCAAGGAAUGACGAGAACUGAAGAACUGUGCCCCAGUGUCCUUCAUCUGCGUGGAAGGAAAUCCCCCCGUGAAGCCCAGGUCACUGCCGCUCACCUGGGCCCCGGCCUUGCAGACAUCCACCGCCUUCGUCCCACAGCUCUGCUCCGCGCUCCAGCUGGAAAAUCACAUCUGACUGGCAAUGCUGAUACCCUGCUCAUUGAAAAAAGAAAUACACCCCAUACUCCGGUCUCCGUACGCGGGAACCACCAGCAGCUGACUUCUGUGUGCCUGCCUUUUCUGUGGCUCUAUGUGACACACGUGGGAAAGGAGCUGAUCCCUGUCUGAAACAGAACCACGAUUCCUAGGGGUUCCCAAAUGUGUCUGGGAGCCCUACUUUGGGGAUGUACCUCGUUCUUCAGGCUCCAGCAGCAUUUCAAAUCUCCACGCCUUCUGAAUCUACACAUUCUCACCUUCCGAAAGACAAGACUCUUCCCUCCUG